rnacentral:rRNA from 1 species
CAGCCGCCGCGGUAAUACCGGCGGCCCGAGUGGCGGUCACUAUUAUUUGGCUUAAAGCGUCCGUAGCCGGGUUGGGAAGUCCUCCGGGAAAUCUGGCCGCUUAACGGUCAGAAUGCCGGAGGAUACUCCCAGCCUAGGGAGCGGGAGAGGCCGAGGGUAUUCCCGGAGUAGGGGUGAAAUCCUAUAAUCCCGGGAGGACCACCUGUGGCGAAGGCGAUCGGCUGGAACGCGUCCGACGGUGAGGGACGAAGGCCAGGGGAGCAAACCGGAUUAGAUACCCGGGUAGUCCUGGCUGUAAACGAUGCGGACUUUGUGUCGGACAAGCUAUGAGCUUGUCCGGUGCCGGAGGGAAACCGUUAAGUCCGCCGCCUGGGGAGUACGGCCGCAAGGCUGAAACUUAAAGGAAUUGGCGGG